UACGGAGGGAGCUAGCGUUGUUCGGAAUUACUGGGCGUAAAGCGCACGUAGGCGGCUACUCAAGUCAGAGGUGAAAGCCCAGGGCUCAACCCUGGAACUGCCUUUGAAACUAGGUAGCUAGAAUCUUGGAGAGGUCAGUGGAAUUCCGAGUGUAGAGGUGAAAUUCGUAGAUAUUCGGAAGAACACCAGUGGCGAAGGCGACUGACUGGACAAGUAUUGACGCUGAGGUGCGAAAGCGUGGGGAGCAAACAGG
rnacentral:rRNA from 1 species